rnacentral:lncRNA from 1 species
GUAGUAUAUUGUGGGUAUAUACUUGGGGAUUGAGAGAACAGAAAAAAGGCCGAGGCAUCAUCCUCUUCUAUGACUCUGAGGAUCAAAGGCAUUUUCUUGUAUUUCUUGAACAAAGAUUUGUGGAGGACCUACUCUGUGCAGACAUUAUUAGACAAUAAAGGAAGCCAAGAGUCUCAGGCCCUUCGCCCUUGCUUCUCAGAAAAGAACAGCUAACCAUUGCCAACCAGAAUGCAUAGAAACUGAACUACUUCUGUGUCUGCAAUUGUCAUCUUGGACAAAUUACCUAAACUGCUUGGGCUGAGAUAUGUGAAUUCAGAUAUUGAAGCUUAUUUAUACCUUCAUAAUUCUAUGCUUCCAUAAUGAUUAAAUCCACCAUAGUAAUAAAUAAAGGCCUUAACCACA